UUACGGCCAUAUCAGGUUGAAACACCGGUUCUCGUACGAUCACCAAUGUUAAGCAACGUCGAACCUGGUCAAUAUUUAUAUGGGUGACUGCUUGCAAAUAUCAGAUACUGUAAG